rnacentral:rRNA from 1 species
CCCUUAGAUGUUCUGGGCCGCACGCGCGCUACACUGACGAAUGCAACGAGCUUAUAACCUUGGCCGAAAGGUCUGGGUAAUCUCCAAAUUUCGUCGUGAUGGGGAUAGAUUAUUGCAAUUAUUAAUCUUCAACGAGGAAUGCCUAGUAAGCGCAAGUCAUCAGCUUGCGUUGAUUACGUCCCUGCCCUUUCUACACACCGCCCGUCGCUCCUACCGAUUGAAUGGUCCGGUGAAGCGUUCGGACCGUGGCCUUUGGACGGUUCGCCGUCUGUUGGCUGCGGGAAGUUCGUUAAACCUUAUCAUUUAGAGGAAGGAGAAGUCGUAACA